rnacentral:sRNA from 1 species
CCUAUGCUUCUUCAUCACUAUAUUCAUCGUCAUCAUCCUCUUCAUCAUCCACCCAAGAAGCACCAUAAUCCUCGUCUUGAACAGCCUCUCCAGUGAACCAAGAAACAACAUGUGGUAUAAUCUUGCCAUAAGUUUGGGCAUAAUGUUUCAGGAAUCAAUGUAUGUAGAAUAAUUACUUGUUCAACUUACGGUAUUUUCGUCAAUUUUUGCAUCAUCCUCUGGAACUUGAGGGGGGCUGAAGAAGUUAAAGAAGCUCUCAUAUUCUUCAGUCUUUGUUAUAGGUUUAGUGCUCUCUGAACUCUCUUUUGUUAGCACCUCCUGUGUCAAACAAUUUCCUGGAUGCCAUUCGAUUUCAGUCCUAAGAAAAAAAGCGGAUGGGUUCAUCAUCUUCAUCAAUCAUGUGGUAUGUUUUAGUCAGCACUUGAUUUUUAAAGAAGGGAUUUGUAUCGAAAAAGAAUUCGAACUUAAAACCCUUUGGAUCAUCAAUUCUGCACCAUUUGAUGUCCUUAAGGUACUUCAGAGCUUCCUCAUCGCUCUCAUGGAUCUGGCAAUGGAAAAGGAAAAAAAUAUUCAUUACAAGAAUCAUUGGCACUUCAUUAUCUAAAAAAAAUGGCACUAAGCAAAUCAGCACACUGAACAAAUAAAUAAGCUCAAAUUGCGUUACAUUGCAACAAAAAAGUAUGUGUUAUACCUUUGAGUACAAUGGUCCAUAAAGCUUCUGAUAAUUAGCUUCUAGAGCAGCUUUUUCCUCCAAGAACUUCGCUUCUAGUUCAUCAUGUUGGCUCUGAAAUAUUAAACAUCACAUCGACGCGCUUCCUGACCACGGGCGCCAGGCUUUCGAGCACGUCAACAUGUUGCUCCGCCAACGCCUGCAGCUUGUUCUGCACAGAUGAC